rnacentral:snoRNA from 1 species
CCCCUUCAGAGUCCUUUACCCAUCAGACCUAAACGUUGGCCUGAGCGGCUGUCCAAGGAGGAAAAGGAGAAGUGAACAUGACGGGUAUUCUUCUGUGAUACACAAGGUGGUUUCAAACCAAA